UACGGGGGGGGCAAGCGUUGUUCGGAAUUACUGGGCGUAAAGGGCUCGUAGGCGGCCAACUAAGUCAGACGUGAAAUCCCUCGGCUUAACCAGGGAACUGCGUCUGAUACUGGAUGGCUUGAGUUUGGGAGAGGGAUGCGGAAUUCCAGGUGUAGCGGUGAAAUGCGUAGAUAUCGGAAGGAACAUCAGUGGCGAAAGCGACUUCCUGGACCAAUACUGACGCUCAUGUGCGAAAGCGUGGGGAGCAAACAGG
rnacentral:rRNA from 1 species